GGUUUGAUUCUGGCUCGGACCAGACUGGCAGGAUGCUUUACACAUGCAAGUCGAACGGCAGCACGGACUUCGGUCUGGUGGCGAGCGGCGAACGGGUGAGUAAUGUAUCCGGAACGUGCUAAACAGCGGGGGAUAACUACGCGAAAGCGUAGCGAAUACACCGCAUACGCCCUUCGGGGGAAAGCGGGGACCUUCGAGGCCUCGCACUAUUAGAGCGGCCGAUAUCCGGAUUGGCUAGUUGGUGGUAACGGCUCGCAAGGCGACGAUCCGUAGCUGGUUUGAGAGGACGACCAGCCACACUGGGACUGAGACACGGCCAGAUACCUGGGCAGCGGUGAAAUUUUUGGACAAUGGGAAACCUGAUCCAGCCAUCCCGCGUGUGCGAUGAAGGCCUUCGGGUUGUAAAGCUUGCUUUUGGCAGGAAAGAAACGGCACCGGAUAUUACCCGUGCAACUGACCAGGAAACACCUGCAGAAUGGCACCAGCUAUUACGGUACAGCGGCGCGGUAAUACGUAGGGUGCGAAAGCGUUAAUCGGAAUUACUGGGCGUAAGCGUGCGCAGACGGUUCGGAAAGAAGAUGUGAAAUCCCGAGCUUAACUUGGAACUACAUUUUUAACUACCGAGCUAGAGUGUCAGAGGGAGAGGAGUGGAAUUCCGCGUGCCAGUGAAAUGCGUAGAUAUGCGGAGGAACUACAGAUGGCGAAGGCAGCCUCCUGGGAUAACGCUGACGCUCGCUGAAAGCGUGGGAGCAAACAGGAUUAGAUACCCUGGUAGUCCGCCACCUAAACGAUGUAACUAGCUGUUGGGGCCUUCGGGCCUUGGUAGCGCAAUAACGGCGUGAAGUUGACCUGGGAGUACGGUCGCAAGAUUAAAACUCAAAGGAAUUGACGGGGACCCGCACAAGCGGUGGAUGAUGGAUUAAUUCGAUGCAACAUGAAAACCUUACCUACCCUUGACAUGUCUGGAAUCCCGAAGAGAUUUGGGAGUGCUGCAAGAGAACCGGAACACAGGUGCUGCAUGGCUGUCGUCAGCUCGUGCUCGUGAGAUGUUGGGUUAAGUCCCGCAACAGGCGCAACCCUUGUCAUUAGUUGCUACGAAGAAAGGCACUCUAAUGCGGAGACUGCCGGUGACAAACCGGAGGAAAGGUGGAUGACGUCAGUCCUCAUGGCUUCGGGUGAUAGGGCUUACACAUCGCCACAAUGGUCGGGAUGAGGGUCGCCAACCCGCGAGGAGCAAUCCCAGAAACCCGAUCGUAGUCGGAUCGCAGUCUGCAACUCGGCCAAACAAUCGGAAUCGCUAGUAAUCGCGGAUCAGCAUGUCGCGUUGAAUACGUUCCCAGAUUCUUACUUUUACACCGCCCGUCACACCAUGGGAGUGGGUUUUACCAGAAGUAGUUAGCUAACGUAAGGAGGGCGAUUACGGUAAGUUCAUGACUGGGGUGAAGUCGUAAAAUAAACCUGUUGCCUGAC
rnacentral:rRNA from 1 species